CCUACGGGGUGCUGCAGUGGGGAAUAUUGGACAAUGGGCGAAAGCCUGAUCCAGCCAUGCCGCGUGUGUGAAGAAGGCCUUCGGGUUGUAAAGCACUUUCAGUGGGGAAGAAAGCCUUGGGGCUAAUACCCUCGAGGAAGGACAUCACCCACAGAAGAAGCACCGGCUAACUCCGUGCCAGCAGCCGCGGUAAUACGGAGGGUGCGAGCGUUAAUCGGAAUUACUGGGCGUAAAGCGCGCGUAGGCGGUCUGAUAAGCCGGUUGUGAAAGCCCCGGGCUCAACCUGGGAACGGCAUCCGGAACUGUCAGGCUAGAGUGCAGGAGAGGAAGGUGGAAUUCCCGGUGUAGCGGUGAAAUGCGUAGAGAUCGGGAGGAAUACCAGUGGCGAAGGCGGCCUUCUGGACUGACACUGACGCUGAGGUGCGAAAGCGUGGGUAGCAAACAGGAUUAGAUACCCGAGUAGUC
rnacentral:rRNA from 1 species